GCGAGGUUGGGGGGCGGGAUUGUGCAGGAGACUGUUGGAGGAAUACAGCAGUUAAUGGAGGAUUCUAAUAAGCAUUAAACAAGAUUUUUCAGAUGUUUUUCUGGUGUGAGGAAGCCUGCAGAGACCUGGCCUACUCCUAAAUGAAUCAUCUCUUGACUGAAGCUUAAGGCCUCAAGAUGUUCCGUGAGCUCUGCUCCAACUUCUCUUUUCUAAUCAAUCCCCACCCUGCCUUCUUAGUCUGGCUUCCUGGUAAAUGCUCAUCUCUGGGCCUAUGCUCUUCCUCCUUUUAGUUUCUAGCAAUUCCAAAUCCAUGACCUCAGCUUACUCUGUGUCUGGGACUGUUUGUGCUAGCCUCAGCGGGAUUGGUAUCAUAGGCCCAAGCCCAGGCUGCAACUGCUGCCCUUCAAUGUGGGGUGAGGGGGGGGCUAAGAGAGAAUUAGAAGAUGAGAGUCAGGAAGACAGCUAGGCUGGCAGGUGAGAGAAAUUAGUAUGCUUGGAGAUGUCAUCAAGACACCUGAGAAGUAGGAGUACCUCUCAGGGUUCCUGGAGACCUCAGGGGAGCAAAGAGGAGCUGCAAGUUUCAACUUGGGGCAAACUGAAUGCUGGGUUUUAAACUGAUAUUGAUUCAGUUCCAACAGGAUCCAAAAAGAGCAGGGGUUUUGGGGCAGACUCAGUUAUGUCUGUUUGUAAUAAUUGAGCAUCAAAUUGUUGAAGAAAUUCUUUUUUUCUCACAUUCAGAUUGGAUGUCCCACCCUGGCCGUCCCACUCAGAGUUGCACUAAAAAUCCUUUGGCAGGCAUUGAGUUCUGGUUUUUAGUUCUGAAAAUGCAG